rnacentral:rRNA from 1 species
GACGAACGCUGGCGGCGUGCUUAACACAUGCAAGUCGAACGGUAAGGCCCUUCGGGGUACACGAGUGGCGAACGGGUGAGUAACACGUGGGUGAUCUGCCCUGCACUUCGGGAUAAGCCUGGGAAACUGGGUCUAAUACCGGAUAGGACUCCGGACUGCAUGGUCUGGGGUGGAAAGCUUUUGCGGUGUGGGAUGGGCCCGCGGCCUAUCAGCUUGUUGGUGGGGUGAUGGCCUACCAAGGCGACGACGGUUAGCCGGCGUGAGAGGGGGACCGGCCACACUGGGACUGAGAUACGGCCCAGACUCCUACGGGAGGCAGCAGUGGGGAAGAUUGCACAAUGGGCGCAAGCCUGAUGCAGCGACGCCGCGUGAGGGAUGACGGCCUUCGGGUUGUAAACCUCUUUCAGCAUCGACGAAGCGAAAGUGACGGUAGGUGCAGAAGAAGGACCGGCCAACUACGUGCCAGCCGCCGCAGUAA